UACAGAGGGGGCAAGCGUUGUUCGGAAUUACUGGGCGUAAAGGGCGCGUAGGCGGCCUCUUAAGUCGAACGUGAAAUCCCCCGGGCUCAACCCGGGAACUGCGUCCGAUACUGGGAGGCUUGAAUCCGGGAGAGGGAUGUGGAAUUCCAGGUGUAGCGGUGAAAUGCGUAGAGAUGUGGAGGAACACCGAUGGCGAAGGCAGCCCCCCUGGGGUCAAGAUUGACGCUCAUGCACGAAAAGCGUGGGGGAGCAAACAGG
rnacentral:rRNA from 1 species